rnacentral:rRNA from 1 species
UCGCUGAAAUGCUGUGAUCAAUGUUGUGUACCAGAGCCCCUUAUAGGCCCACAGAUCAAGUCGCGGAGAUUCUACCUAAAGUUUUUAGUAGGAAUAUAAUAUGACCGGUCUGCCCUGAGGUGGUUGAGAGCAACGUUCUGUAGGUGAACGUGCGGAAGGAUCAUUACCGAGUUAGGCUGUGUAGGCCCGACCUCCAACCCUUUGUUUGUUACACCAUGUUGCUUUGGUGGCUUCCCGAUUGGGGCCGCCGGGGGUUUACAAGCCCGUGGUCAGUCUUCGCAGUAGCCUUAUUAAAUUCUUUCCCAAUUAAGUCGUCUGAGUAUACAUAAAAUCGUUUAAACUUUCAACAACGGAUCUAUUGGUUCGGCAUCGAUUAAAACGCCUGAAAUGCGAUAAGUAAGACAAUUGCAGAAUUCAGUAAGUCAUGAAUCUUUGCACCCAUAUUGCGCCGUUUGGUGUUCCGAAGGGCAGGUAUUUGGAGCGUCAUUGUGUACCAUCAAGCCUGGCUACCGAUGGACCUCCUUACCGCUGAAAUGGUUGGCAUGUCGCGGACAUCCAUGGCGUCGUGUUGGGUUAGCGCAAUUUACCUACUUGGCUCGCCUUUAUGUGCUUCAACUACCCCUCCUCCCAUUUCCUUUUGUCCCCUUUAAUGGGUCCUUAUGGGGGGUAGAAGGUACAAAAUCCCGGCCUUUCAAGCAAAUCCUUCCUUUGCAGGGGGUC